rnacentral:lncRNA from 1 species
CUUUGCCAGACUUUGUUUGGACUUGAAUAUAAAUGCCUCAGGCUGAUCUAUAAAGAUAAAAAGAAAUGAAUAUCCCCCUGAAAAUGUCAUCCUGAAAGACUUGGCCCUUUUUUCUGAAGAAAAUGCCCUGUUUUUUGUCUAUGUAACAAAAUCUGUUACUGUUUCCUUGAACAGCUUCGGCGCUCUGUGCCUGGAGGAAGGGACAUGAAAUCUGGCAGGGUGUGUCAGGAAUGUGCCUGUCGCUACUUCCACAAAACGCUCAGUUUGCCCAAGCUUUCAGCAUUUGGAAAAUGGCAAUUUGCACGCGCCAAGCAAUUAUAUUUUGAACUUUCUUUUUAAGUCAGCACCACUCAGAUUUAGCUAGCAUGCUUCUGGCAUCGAGCAGACUGCAGAAAUGCCAGCACCACAGCGUGACGGCGCGUGCGUCCCCCGUCCAGGAUGGCAAGGCCAAAAGGACUUCCCAGUUUUAGCCUCCUCUGUGAAGGUGGCACCCCGGCAAGGAGGAAAGCGAAGAGGGAGGCCAAGUGAUGGUGAUACACAGCAUAAGGGAGGAAGAAGCUGUGUGUUUGAGAAGCACAGAGCCCUCACACCCUGGGGAACUGGUCCUGCAAAGAAUCUUCAAAGAGAGAAUUUGGGCAGCUCAAUCCCAAAUCACUAGCCACUAUGAGAUAACAAUGGAUCCCCGAAGGCUGCUCCUCUUGUCUAGUUAAGGCUAAUGAGUUGUGCUUGAUGACAUUAAAACCUGCUUCUGCCACUGUUUCUUCUGCUUUGAUGGGAGACUGACACAGACCGGAGCGUG